rnacentral:rRNA from 1 species
CUACGUGCCAGCAGCCGCGGUAAUACGUAUGUCACAAGCGUUAUCCGGAUUUAUUGGGCGUAAAGCGCGUCUAGGUGGUUAUGUAAGUCUGAUGUGAAAAUGCAGGGCUCAACUCUGUAUUGCGUUGGAAACUGCAUGACUAGGGUACUGGAGAGGUAAGCGGAACUACAAGUGUAGAGGUGAAAUUCGUAGAUAUUUGUAGGAAUGCCGAUGGGGAAGCCAGCUUACUGGACAGAUACUGACGCUAAAGCGCGAAAGCGUGGGUAGCAAACAGGAUUAGAUACCCUGGUAGUCCACGCCGUAAACGAUGAUUACUAGGUGUUGGGGGUCGAACCUCAGCGCCCAAGCUAACGCGAUAAGUAAUCCGCCUGGGGAGUACGUACGCAGGUAUGAAACUCAAAGGAAUUGACGGGGACCCGCACAAGCGGUGGAGCAUGUGGUUUAAUUCGACGCAACGCGAGGAACCUUACCAGCGUUUGACAU